UAUGUAAAAAAAUAAUCGAAAUUUAAAUAAAACUGAAGUAAUAAUUUUGAAAACACAAAAGAACGAACAAUAUUAUGUUGAGCAGGAAAAGAAAGCAAAGGGAUUUUAUAAAAAAAAAAAAAACACAAUAUGUCAUUUGACAACUGUCAAGUGUCUCCGUAUUCGAAAAGAAUGUGUAUAAUUUUCACAAAUCCUCACUUUUGUUGUAUUAUUUGUAUUUUAGUUCAUUUGUGAUACGCACAAUAGUUGCCUUUCGACCGCCACUUGUUCAAACUCCGAUCAAUCCGCUUUCAGCUAUUUAAUGACUCAGUUUUGGAACGAAGUUCCUUAUGGGACGAUGCGGAGGGUGCGCUAACCGGGAAAAAACGUCCGUAACGUAAGAUUUUUAUUAUUUAUGUAUAUGUCUUAGUAUGAUGGCUAUACAGUGUCCAAUGUAUAGUCUACGUGAUGACGGUUAUUAUUAUUAUUCAUAUAAAUAGCUGUUUCUUGGUAUGUUAUUAUUAUAUAUUUUUUAUAAAUCAUUGUUAAUAAAAUAAAGUUGAUAACUUUGUAA